rnacentral:rRNA from 1 species
CCCUUAGAUGGUCUGGGCCGCACGCGCGCUACACUGACGAAUGCAACGAGCUUAUAACCUUGGCCGAAAGGUCUGGGUAAUCUCCAAAUUUCGUCGUGAUGGGGAUAGAUUAUUGCAAUUAUUAAUCUUCAACGAGGAAUGCCUAGUAAGCGCAAGUCAUCAGCUUGCGUUGAUUACGUCCCUGCCCUUUGUACACACCGCCCGUCGCUCCUACCGAUUGAAUGGUCCGGUGAAGCGUUCGGACCGUGGCCUUUGGACGGUUCGCCGUCUGUUGGCUGCGGGAAGUUCGUUAAACCUUAUCAUUUAGAGGAAGGAGAAGUCGUAACA